rnacentral:rRNA from 1 species
GAUGAACGCUGGCGGCGUGCCUAAUACAUGCAAGUCGAGCGAACGGACGAGAAGCUUGCUUCUCUGAUGUUAGCGGAGGGGGGGUGAGUAACACGUGGAUAACCUACCUAUAAGUCUGGGAUAACUACGGGACACCGGAGAUAAUACCGGAUAAUAUUUUGAACCGCAUGGUUCAAAGGUGAAAGACGGUCUUGCUGUCACUUAUAGAUGGAUCCCGGCUGCAUUAGCUAGUUGGUAAGGUAAAGGCUUACCACGGCAACGAUGCAUAGCCGACGUGAGAGGGGGAUCGGCGGCAUUGGAGCGGGAACACGGACCUUGGGCCUGCGGGAGGCAGCAGUAGGGAAUCGGCCGCAGUGGUGGAGAGCCUUACGGAGCAGCGCGACGUGAGUGGUGGAGGUCUUCCGAUCGUAAAACUGUGUUAUGAGUGGAGAACAUAUGUGUAAGGAGCUGAGGAGAGCGUGACGGUAACGAAUCAGAAAGCAACGGCUAACUACGUG